GGAGGAGCCAGUUCUUUGACCGUGUUCUCUCUGGAGAGUUCAGCUGGACAGACGAGGCUCACAGAGAACUUCUCAGGUCUAUGCUAAUGACAGCAUGUGACUUGGGUGCAGUGACCCGCCCCUGGGAGAUCUCCAAACAGGUUGCGGAGUUGGUGACCAGUGAGUUUUUCGAGCAAGGUGACAGGGAGAGGUCAGAGCUCAAGUUAACUCC